AUUGAACGCUGGCGGCGUGCUUAACACAUGCAAGUCGAUCGGUAACGCGGGGGCAACCCUGGCGACGAGAGGCGGACGGGUGAGGAACGCUUGGGAAUCUGCCUAUCAGCGGGGGACAACACGGGGAAACGCGUGCUAAUACCGCAUACGACCUACGGGUGAAAGUGGGGGACUGCAAGGCCUCACGCGAUUAGAUGAGCCGAUGUCCGAUUAGCUAGUUGGCCGGGUAAUGGCCCACCAAGGCGACGAUCGGUAGCUGGUCUGAGAGGAUGAUCAGCCACACUGGAACUGAGACACGGUCCAGACUCCUACGGGAGGCAGCAGUGGGGAAUAUUGGACAAUGGGCGCAAGCCUGAUCCAGCCAUACCGCGUGGGUGAAGAAGGCCUUCGGGUUGUAAAGCCCUUUUGUUGGGAAAGAAAUCCUGUCGAUUAAUACUCGGUGGGGAUGACGGUACCCAAAGAAUAAGCACCGGCUAACUUCGUGCCAGCCGCCGCGGUAAAAC
rnacentral:rRNA from 1 species